UGGGGAAUAUUGCACAAUGGGGGAAACCCUGAUGCAGCGACGCCGCGUGAACGAAGAAGGUAUUCGUAUCGUAAAGUUCUGUCCUAUGGGAAGAUAAUGACAGUACCAUAGAAGAAAGCUCCGGCUAAAUACGUGCCAGCAGCCGCGGUAAUACGUAUGGAGCGAGCGUUAUCCGGAAUUAUUGGGCGUAAAGGGUACGCAGGCGGUUUAAUAAGUCGAAUGUUAAAGAUCGGGGCUCAACCCCGUAAAGCAUUGGAAACUGAUAAACUUGAGUAGUGGAGAGGAAAGUGGAAUUCCUAGUGUAGUGGUGAAAUACGUAGAUAUUAGGAGGAAUACCAGUAGCGAAGGCGACUUUCUGGACACAAACUGACGCUGAGGUACGAAAGCGUGGGGAGCAAACAGG
rnacentral:rRNA from 2 species